rnacentral:rRNA from 1 species
GAUGAACGCUGGCGGCGUGCCUAACACAUGCAAGUCGAGCGGAGCGGGGACGGGCGAGUAACACGUGGAUAACCUCCUAUAAGACUGGGAUUACCUCGGGAAACCGGUGCUUAACCGGAUACUUAUCGAUGGAUCCGCUCUGCAUUAGCUAGUUGGUAAGGUAACGGCUUACCAAGGCAACGAUGCAUAGCCGGCCUGAGAGGAGGAUCGGCCACACUGGAACUGAGACACGGUCCAGACUCCUACGGGAGGCAGCAGUAGGGAAUCUUCCACAAUGGGCGAAAGCCUGACGCAGCAACGCCGCGUGUAUGAAGAAGGUCUUCGGAUCGUAAAGCUCUGUUAUUAGGGAGGCGGUACCUGAUCAGAAAGCCACGGCUAACUACGUGCCAGCAGCCGCGGUAAUUC